rnacentral:rRNA from 1 species
CAGCCGCCACGGUAAUACGUAGGGUGCGAGCGUUGAUCGGAAUUACUGGGCGUAAAGCGUGCGCAGGCGGUUUUGUAAGACAGGCGUGAAAUCCCCGGGCUCAACCUGGGAAUGGCGCUUGUGACUGCAAAGCUAGAGUGCGGCAGAGGGGGAUGGAAUUCCGCGUGUAGCAGUGAAAUGCGUAGAUAUGCGGAGGAACACCGAUGGCGAAGGCAAUCCCCUGGGCCUGCACUGACGCUCAUGCACGAAAGCGUGGGGAGCAAACAGGAUUAGAUACCCCCGUAGUCCCUGUCUCUUAUAC